UGAGAUCACACCACUGCAAUUCCAGCCUGACUUGGUCUCAAAAAAAAAAAAAAAGCUAGAAGGGAAUAAUUGAGAUGUUCCUAGCAUAUAGAAAACAUAAAUACUUCAAGUGAUAGACAUCCCAAUUACCCUGAUUUGAUUAUAUGGAUGUAUCAGAUUAUCACAUGUACUACAAAACUAUGUACAGAUAUUAUGUAUUGACAAAAAGUAAAUUAAUUUUUUUAAUAAAAGAAUAAUUUGGAUUAAAAGAAACACAUUUCAGGUUCUGAGAACUGGAGAAGAAAGCUGUUUUGUAAAGGGAUGAUAGUGAAUAAGUUAAAAGUUAAGCAUAUCGCUUUGGGUUUGACAUAAUCUUUUUAAAAGGAAAAUGUAUUUCUUAAAUGAUUAAAAACAGAAAACACAUUUACUUUUUUAAAAAAGAUGUUGAAUGACAGUCAACUGGUAAGAUUUCUUUCUGCUUAGACUCCUCUAGUUUUUAUUUUAGGAUGUCUUUGCUUUUACAAAUUCCUUUCAUCUUCCUGAUAAAAGGCACUGAAUAACAAAAUAACACUUACUUAGAAAUAUUAGAAAGAUUUGGUGUGCGUGCACAUGCGCGCGCGCGCGCGCGUGUGUGUGUGUGUGUUACUUUAGAGGUUACAAAAAUAUGAAACAAACCGAUGCCCUAUAUUUGUCUUUUCAGAGUAUUGUAGGAUUCAAUAGUGUCCUGGCAUUAGUGAAAUCAUUUGUUGGUAAAAGCCCAAACUCAGGAUGUCUUCAUUUUUCCUGCAGUUCUCUACAAUGUGUGCAAAAUUGAGCCCAAGAUGGAAAGGCCUCCUGUCUCUCUGUGUCAGUCAAGGGGUGAUUAUCUUGUAGAGGGACAGCCCAGGCCCUCUCACCUCUGAGAGCUGAGUAUUUUUUUAUCUUUGUCCAACUUGGACAACUGUGAAGAUCUGACCAGCCUUCCAUUAUUAUGUUUAUAGUCAUCAACAAAACUCUGUCCUCACUGACACUGCCAUCUCCCUCACACAAACCCAGUGUUUUCUAGUGAUCAUUGAGAACAAUACAUGCAUGUCUUAGCCUGUUUUGUGCUCCAGUAACAGUAUUCCACAGAGAGAUUUAUUGGCUCAUGAUUCUGGAGGGUGGGAAGUUCAAGAUCAAGGGGUUGGCAUCUGGUGAGGACCUUUGUAUUAUGUCAUCCAAUGAUGGAAGGAGCAAGUGAGCCCAAGAAAGCUCAAGAUGGGGGCCAAACUCAAUUUUAUAACAAACCCAAUCCGAGAUAACAUUAAGCCACUCAGGAGAGAGAGCCCUCCUGAAAACAGCUCCCACUACGCUCCAUCACCAAACACUAUUGGCAUUGGGAGUUACAUUUCCAACAUAUGAACCAUGACCUCUGUUAAUGUAUAGAGCACAGGGAUUCUAAUUCUGGAAGAUUCUUCACUCUCCAGACAUUAUUGAACUUGAAUCCUGAAGAUUGCUAGGGGUACGUGACACAAGGACCUAAAAAUUAUAAGAUUUGAAUUAUUAAUUACAAUGAUAAAAAUUAUGACCAUCAGUUAAGUGCCUACUAGAUGUCAGGUCAUAGAGGUAUAGGUAUAUAAUUUUUAAUCCUAAAGCUUAUAAGGAGGGAAUUUUUUUUUCAGGCAAGAAAACUUAGGCUGCAUGAAAGUAAUAACUUGCCCAAGCAUGCACGACUAGAAGAUAGAUGAACUGGGAUUCAGUCCUGAGUUUGUCUGACUACAGCAUGGCCUCUUUCCAAAGAAAACUCUUAAGCAGAAGCUGAAAUAUGGCAGGACAUUUCCUCUGUGCUAUGGAGACCUUUUGUUAAACAGUGGGGGUGUGGACCAUUCUCUCCCUACCUGGUACACCUACAUUUUUCUUAAAAGAAACGUGACCAAGUGAAUGGCUGAUUAUUUAAAAAUUGGGUCCUUUUCUGUAUGACAAAGUGAGGUGGAAAGAAAGAGCAGACUGGCCAAUAUAUCAAAGGAUUUUCUGACACUCCCCAAAAGCAGAAGACAGGCUGUCCCUGUUUCCUCUGCUCACUGAAGCCAGCCUUGAUUCUCUCUGUCCACUGUCUGACAUUAUCACUGUUCACACACAUUAGCCUCAAAGGCUGUCCUGCAUAACAGAGCACCUCCCCUCUUACUGCCUAGAGAAAUUAUUUUUCUCUUAUUAAGCAAAGGAAACUCCAUGAUCUAAAAAGGCCAUUUUUCAUCUGGAUCAUCAAGCAGUGGCUCUGAAGGUGUGUUUAAGUCCACUCUCAGGUGUGCUUGCCAAGCACACCAUCUAGGUUCUGGCAGAGCACGGCGUCAUUCAAGUGCAUAAUUCACAGGACUCCAGCUGCCAGCCAGUGGGGCCUGGAGAACCAGGCAGGAAGCACAGUUGAUAUAACGAGCAUAGUUAACCCUUCAGAAGCAUGAGAUACAGCAACAUUUUCAAAAGUCUUCUACGUGUCAGAUUUUUGUGCUUGCCCAGAGCAUGAAAGCUCAGAACUUUAAGGAUGUCAGUAAAUGUACAUUGCUUCUCAUCACAUUUGGCAUAAAAGUUUAUGAGGCCUCAGUGGUUUGGCCCGUGCCUAUUCUUCCUGACCCGUGCUCCAUCACUCAGCUCUCAUUCCCUCCACUCUAGUCUCAGCAGUUUUCUUACCCCCAUUCACCCUCCCCGCACCCCCCUGAAUAACACUGCCAUCAGUCUCUAGCAUGUAUUCUGCUGUAUCUUCCCUCACUGCAUUGACCACUCAUUGUUUAACAUUGUCUGCACCACCAGAAGGCUAACUCUGUGAGGAUGGGGAAUUCGUUUUGUUCCCUGACAUAACGGAAUACCUAAUAGUUAUCCAAUAAAUUAAAAAUCCAUGAUGAAUGAAUGAAUUAAGUGUAGAUCUGGAAAACAUGGUUGUAUUCAAUCAGGAAGUCCAUCAAGUUUUCUGGUAUUUAACUUGUCCCGGGUUUGCUGUGCCAGGGUCUGCACAGCCCACAGGCAUCCUAGGUUGCCAGGACCCUUCCAGGGAAAAGGGAUCUUCUCUUAGAUAAACAUGAGCUCCUCUUCCAGUCUGGGUCAUCAUCUGGUUUCCAUGGCAACCCAUAUAAAGUGCCUCUGACCUAGAGCAAUUUAUGGGACAUAAAAUAUUCCACACUCAUAAAACAGGAAACAAACAAAAAAACAACAUAA